rnacentral:miRNA from 1 species
GUAUACUGUUACAUCUCUGAUUAAAUUCAUGUGUGUAUGUGUGUGUGUGUGUGUGUGUAUAUAUAUAUAGGCUAUAUAGAGAGUAUAUAGCCUAUAGACAGCAUAUA